AAUUAUAUCCAUAUUCCAUUGGUAAUGUUCACGUCGUCUUCCCCUGGUCAUUCUCUCAUAACGCCAGCAUUGUCCAAUAGCAAACCAUUUCAAUGGAAGAGAUACAGAUUUUCCUUUCUGUAUCACAAGUCUUGCCAAUGAAGGAGUCAGCUCAGGCCUCAAUGCAACUCGACGGUUUCCACGAUCUUCAAAACAGUAAAGCUGGUCUCUAAUUUCCUCCCCAGCCUUCCUG
rnacentral:misc_RNA from 1 species